UUGAAAUAGAAGACCCACUCGUUGGGCUUCAACCUUUCAAAUUCAAACACAAUGUGCACUGUCUAGAUGAACGCCACCCUUCAGGGUGUGGCUACUAGUCUUCCUUUUUUCAAAACACAAGUCAAUGUAUGUAAUAACAUAUAACAAUA
rnacentral:misc_RNA from 1 species